rnacentral:sRNA from 1 species
AGCGCAUGGACUGAGGUGCGGGGAAGCCGGCCGCUCACCGAAGCUUUCCGUAGUUACGGAGGAGCUUGAGGUCCACCGCUGCUUACUGCGCAGAGCUGCUCCUUUGAGGUGCUGUUGUUUUCAGGUUCCUGUCCUGCCGUCUUGUCCCACGACGGCGCGGAGUAUCCCCGCUGAAAAGCAGGGGGUCGUUCCAGGCCAUCAGACGUGUGGAGUAAGCUGCAGGAAUAAGACGAGUUGGAAGAAGACCUGAUCAACAACUUCAGGGUGAAGGGAAAAUAAUUGAUAGAAGACCAGAAAGGCGACCACCUCGUGAACGAAGAUUCGAAAAGCCACUUGAAGAAAAGGGUGAAGGAGGCGAAUUUUCAGUUGAUAGACCGAUUAUUGACCGACCUAUUCGAGGUCGUGGUGGUCUUGGAAGAGGUCGAGGGGGCCGUGGACGUGGAAUGGGCCGAGGAGAUGGAUUUGAUUCUCGUGGCAAACGUGAAUUUGAUAGGCAUAGUGGAAGUGAUAGAUCUGGCCUGAAGCACGAGGACAAACGUGGAGGUAGCGGAUCUCACAACUGGGGAACUGUCAAAGACGAAUUAACAGAGUCCCCCAAAUACAUUCAGAAACAAAUAUCUUAUA